UAGGGAAUCUUCCGCAAUGGACGAAAGUCUGACGGAGCAACGCCGCGUGAGUGAAGAAGGAUUUCGGUUCGUAAAACUCUGUUGUUAGGGAAGAAAAAAUGUAUAGUAACUAUAUACAAAAGAGACGGUACCUAACCAGAAAGCCACGGCUAACUACGUGCCAGCAGCCGCGGUAAUACGUAGGUGGCAAGCGUUGUCCGGAAUUAUUGGGCGUAAAGCGCGCGCAGGUGGUUUAGAAAGUCUGAUGUGAAAGCCCACGGCUCAACCGUGGAGGGUCAUUGGAAACUAAUAAACUUGAGUGCAGGAGAGAAAAGUGGAAUUCCUAGUGUAGCGGUGAAAUGCGUAGAGAUUCGGAGGAACACCGGUGGCGAAAGCGGCUUUUUGGCCUACAACUGACACUGAGGCGCGAAAGCGUGGGGAGCAAACAGG
rnacentral:rRNA from 1 species